rnacentral:lncRNA from 10 species
UCACAGCUACUUCCUUGAGCCCCCUUUCAGACAGUGCUGUCUAGACCUGUCUCAGCCCAAGCAUCACCACCCUGAUAUGCAGAAGCUGGCAUCCUUACCUGAAAUUCAACAUCAAGAAAUGAUCUCUUCUACUCAACACUGAUAGAAAUACCUCUAAGCAACGUCCUCAUUGGCAGGGGUGGAGUGGGGGAGUUUCUUAAAAAGUGAGGCCUCUGCCUACCACCUAGAGAACCUGGAAAUUUCCAUCUGUGCCACCAAGUCCAAAUCACUGGCCACUGCCCCAGUGUAUGGCAGAUUAGAAUAUCUCUCCAUUGGAUCUGGGUUUCUAUUCCAUUGAGUGAAAUGCCUUUUCUACUACAGGAACAGAAUAAGGGAUCAAAAGGGUCUUACAACUGAACUCCAGUGUACAGUCUGCACAGACACUAGGCUUGUGCAAAUAUGACACAGCGAGGCCCCAGGACCCUUAAGCCAGCUGAAUGUACUGAGUUUCAGGAAACAGUGAGAUACAUUCAGCAAAACAGUGGGCUUCAUGCUGAAAGAAGUCAAUCCAAGUAAACACACCAGGGAAAAUGACCACAAAACAUCCCAUCUUCACUGCUCAGAGAAGGCUAGAUCUGCUGUGAGCUAGGAAGCCAUGUGGGGGCAGCUGAUGAGUCAUCAAAUGGGAGAAAUCUGAGAGCCAUGUGUUCCACAGGCCUCUGGUCCUUGUUCAGGCAGCAGGGCACUGUGAGAUGUGGCUCCUUGGCCCUUUCCAGCCACCACCUUGAUUGCCUGCUACAAGGAAAGAGACUGAAGCCCAAGAAUGGGGUCUUGCUCACCAUAGGAUGAUGGCUCAGUGUGCAGAGCUGAGCUAUGGCCCAAGAGGCAGAAGGUGGGGAUGACCCAGGCUGAGCUGGGGGAUCCAACUGAACAUGCACUUGCUAAGAAGCUGUGGGCUAUGAUGCCUUGGGACCCCAGUCUGGGUCUAGAAUUGUAGCAAAACAGGCUACUGGUAAAAGUUCUUGGGAAGCCAACUCACUUUUGCUUUCAUCCGUGGGCAAACAAACCUCUGAUCAACCACACCACAAUGGUGUCACUCUGUAAGGCACAGGUAGACAAGGCAUCCAGCCUUGCACACUCCAGGGCCCACACAUGUCCAGAAUACAAUGGUUCUUGUUGAGACUCCACUCUUCCAACUCAGACAGAAGCUCCCCAAUGUCCUCAGCCACUCCCAACAACUGGAGGUCUGAAAACUUUCAUGCAUGCCGCUAUGGUCUAAACCACUCGUGGUGGUUUUGAUUUUCAUUUUCCUGAUAAUCAGUGAUGCUAAGCACCUUUCCAUAUGCCUUUUCACCAACUGGAUAUCUUCUUUGGCUAAAUGUCUAUUGAAAUCCAUUGCCCAUUUACAAAUCUGCUUUUUUGUGGGCUUCUUGAUGUUUUUUUUUUUUCCUAUUUAUUUAUACAAGUUCCUUAGAUAUUUUGGAUAUUUUUAAAAAUGAUUUUCAAUUCCAUUGCCCAGUUAUAAAUCUUUUUUUUUUUUUUUUUUUUUGAGACAGAGUUUUGCUGUUGUUGUCCAGGCUAGAGUGCAAUGGUGCAAUCUUGGUUCACAGCAACCUCCACCUCCCAAAGUCAAGCAAUUCUCCUGCCUCAGCCUCCUGAGUAGCUGGGAUUACAGGCAUGUGCCACCAUGCCCGGCUAAUUUUUGCAUUUUUAGUAGAGGCAGGGUUUCUCCAUGUUGGUCAGGCUGGUCUUGAACUCCCGGUCUCAGGUGAUCUGUCCACCUUGGCCUCCCAAAGUGCUGGGAUUACAGGCAUGAGCCACUUGCCCAGCCAAUUAUCCCUUUUUGUGGUUUUUUUUUUGGGGGGGUAGGGGGGAAGAACAGAGUCUCGCUCUGUCACCCAGUCUAGAGUGCACUGGUGUGAUCUCGGCUCACUGCAGCCUCCGCCUCCCAGAUUCCAGCAAUUCUCCUGACUCAGUUUCCCGGGUAGCUAAGAUUACGGGCGCGCAACACAUGCCCAGCUAAUUUUUGUAUUUUUAGUAGAGACGGGGUUUCACCAUGUUGGCCAGGCUGGUCUCAAACUCCUGACCUCAGGUGAUCCACCCACCUCCCAAAGUGUUGGGAUUACAGGCGGGAGCCACCACUCCCGGCCCCAUUUUGUGUUUUAACAUCAGUCGACACUCGUAUUUUAAAAUAAUAACAAUGAAUGGCGGUACCUUAGAACAAGGGAAUUAUACAUCUUUCUCUUGUCCUAGUGCAGACAUUUUGUCUAUAAAAUGUUAUUCACAGAUGAAUUCAUGAAAACAUUACUGUGAAUUUUAAAUCCAUAUACAAGUGUAUGCUUGUUCAUGAAUACUUCAAUAAAAUAAAACUAAUAGCAAAAAAGAAUUCCAGAGUUGAAGCAGUUUCAGGAAAAAGGAGUUGGUUGGCAGUAUGAAGUAAAAUAGCAAAAAAUGGGUUUUUUUUAAAUGGGUAUAUUUGUGUCUACAACUUUUUUUUAAUUAUAGCAUUAGACAAUGUGUAUAUAUAUAUGCAUAUAUAAAGCAAUGAAAGUGGCAUUGUUUUCAUACUAGUCUAGGAUAUUAAAAUAUAUGUAAUAUGUGAUUGGCAAAAUAAUGGCCCCCCAAAGAUGUCCACAGAUUCCUAGAACCUUACAUGAAAACGGUACAUCAUGCAUGUGAUUCAGGUAAAGACCUUGACAUGAGGAGACUACCCUGGUGCUAUGGAGUGAACGUUGUGUUCCAUCAAUGUUCAUGUGUUAAAAUCCUAACCCUCAAGGUGAUGGUAUUAGGAG